UUGGGUCUUCUUCCUCACUGCAUACGACUGCAUUAUGCAGUCUGCAUACGACUCCAUUGAUAACUGAUGUACAAACGAAUCUUAGAAAGCCAAUUUGUCUUACCCCUCAAAUGUAUCCCUUUAACUUAUCUGAUAAAUCUCUUUCCAUUCUUUAUCUUAAAAGCUCAAAUUGUUGGUGAGAUUUGAAGUUCCACCAUAUCCCCACCAUAAAAACAACAUUGCACCACCGUGAGCCGCCUACUGCCGCUACUCUUAGGCAACCUCCUCUUGAUCAGAAAUCAUCCCAACACCACCCCAUUGUAGUCCGCCUCUUACAACCUCUCCCUCUCGCCGAAAUCCGCUCGAAACAGAGGAGAAAACGGGCAAACUCGUCGACUACAAUCGACUGCCACCCAUCGCUGACGCCCACUUCAUCACUCACCGUUGUUGCUGCUGUCGGAAUUCCACCCCUCCGACCAUCUGCCAUCUUCUUCGUCCCUCUCUCGUCAAUCUCGCCGGACGAAACCCAGGGACGGAGCAUGGGAGCUUCCGAUGUGUGCCACCCAACACCACUCCCUGCCAUCCUUCCUUUGGGGUUGCUGCCACCAUGAAAACUCCGAUCAGCAAUCACAUUCCACCACUAUGAAUAAAUCGACCACCACCUUAUACCCCCUCCUCUCAAUUGCAAAUCACCACCAAACACCACUACCAUUUGUUUUCUCCGCUGAUUUGGACCAGAACCCAACCUAAAACCAGGCGGGAAGAGGCCGCCGGAGCUCUGCCACUCACCUACAUCCCCGCUCACUGCCACCGUCGCCAUUCUCCGACACCACCUCCGCCGAGAUGCCUCCGGUAAAAUUAAAUAGAACCGGUGAUUCUUCUUUAAGAGAACGGAACGUCACAAAACGACCUUUGCAAAUUUCACCCUCGAGACUCGUUUACGCUUCAAGAGUACUUCCGGUAGAGGAUGAUGGAGCUCGGGACGAUCGCAUGGCACACACCAUAGAUUAGUUAACCUGGGAAUGUUUUACUCUGAUAAUGAACAUGUGUUUUGAAAACUAAUACUCUGUUUAUGUUUUGAAAUGAUGAUUUUACUUUAAGUGAUACUUUAUUAAAAGAA